CCUGGCGGCACUAGCGCGGUGGUCCCACCUGACCCCAUGCCGAACUCAGAAGUGAAACGCCGUAGCGCCGAUGGUAGUGUGGGGUCUCCCCAUGUGAGAGUAGGGAACUGCC
rnacentral:rRNA from 2 species